UGGGGAAUAUUGGACAAUGGGCGCAAGCCUGAUCCAGCCAUGCCGCGUGUGUGAAGAAGGCCUUUUGGUUGUAAAGCACUUUAUGCGAGGAGGAGGCUACUUGGAUUAAUACUCUAGGAUAGUGGACGCUACUCGCAGAAUAAGCACCGGCUAACUCUGUGCCAGCAGCCGCGGUAAUACAGAGGGUGCGAGCGUUAAUCGGAUUUACUGGGCGUAAAGCGUGCGUAGGCGGCUUCUUAAGUCGGAUGUGAAAUCCCUGAGCUUAACUUAGGAAUUGCAUUCGAUACUGGGAAGCUAGAGUAUGGGAGAGGCUGGUAGAAUUCCAGGUGUAGCAGUGAAAUGCGUAGAGAUCUGGAGGAAUACCGAUGGCGAAGGCAGCCAUCUGGCCUAAUACUGACGCUGAGGUACGAAAGCAUGGGGAGCAAACAGG
rnacentral:rRNA from 1 species